rnacentral:rRNA from 1 species
ACGGGAGGCAGCAGUGGGGAAUAUUGCGCAAUGGGCGAAAGCCUGACGCAGCGACGCCGCGUGAGGGAUGAAGGUCCUCGGAUCGUAAACCUCUGUCGGAAGGGAAGAAACUACCUGAGAGCAACUGCUCAGGUACUGACGGUACCUUCAAAGGAAGCACCGGCUAACUCCGUGCCAGCAGCCGCGGUAAUACGGAGGGUGCAAGCGUUAAUCGGAAUUACUGGGCGUAAAGCGCAUGUAGGCUGCCGAGUAAGUCAGAGGUGAAAUCCCACGGCUCAACCGUGGAACUGCCUUUGAUACUGCCCGGCUUGAAUCCAGGAGAGGGUGGCGGAAUUCCGGGUGUAGGAGUGAAAUCCGUAGAUAUCCGGAGGAACAUCAGUGGCGAAGGCGGCCACCUGGACUGGUAUUGACGCUGAGAUGCGAAAGCGUGGGUAGCAAACAGGAUUAGAUACCCUGGUA